GACAGGAAACCCACCACCCCACAUCAACAGGAAGAGAAGGAGAGAGAGAGAUGGCGCCUGAGAGCUCAGCGCUCAGCCCUGGGGAGGGACAGGCUGAUUCCCAUGAGGCACCACAGUGUCUCUCAGAGAUCAGAAUCGUGCUGCUGGGGGAGGAAGAGUUUGGGAAGAGCUCAGCAGGAAACGCCAUCCUGGGCAGAAAGGAGUUUCAGACUAAGAGAGAAACUGAGGAGUGUGUGAAGAGUCAGAGUGAAGUAGCUGGGAGGCAGAUCACUGUGGUCGACACUCCAGACUGGGAUGUGUGGCUGAUGAGGAAUGAUCCACAGCAGAUCAGACAGGAAAUUGUGAAAAUGUUGUCCAUGUUUCCCCCAGAACCCCACACUCUCCUUCUGGUGAUUAAUCUAGAUUCAAUAACAGACUGGAGAACAGAGGAGAAACAUCUGGAACUUCUCAGUGAGAGAGUCUGGAGACAUACAAUAGUGCUGUUCACCUGAAGGGACACACUGAGACUCACAACCAUUGAGCAGCACAUUGAGAGAGGAGGGAAGGAGCUCCAGUGGCUGGUGGAGAAAUGUGGGAACAGGUAUCAUGUUCUCAACAACAAGAAUGGGGGCGACCGCACUCAGGUCACAGAGCUGCUGGAGAAGAUAGAGGACAUGGUGGCAGGAAACUGUGGGCUGUACUUCACUACUGAGAUAUACAGAGAGACAGUAGAAAGGAUCAGACUUAAGGAACAAUAAACAGAAGAGCCCAGAUUGCCUGUCAGGAGGAGGAGGAUCAGUAUGGGCGAGCCUCCCAACAUGGGCGAAGGAGACCCUGCAGUUGAACCCAUACUCCAGCCCCACACCUCUGAUCUGAAACUGGUGCUGUUUGGUAGGACUGGUGCUGGGAAGAGCGCAGCAGGAAACACCAUCCUGGGCUCAGAGGAGUUUCCCUCUGAAGCCAGCAGCUCCGCAGUCACUCAGGAGAGCCGGAAGAGGACAGGACAAGUGUCCGGGAGACGGGUGACUGUGGUGGACACUCCAAACUAGACCACAGGACAGAGAUUGAGGAACUGAGAGACACAGAAAAGGAACACAGAGAGACUGCAUUGUGAUAAAUAUUCUGGGAUUAGAGAAACAUUCUUCCCCAAAUUUACAUAUCUAAUCCUAGAAUUCCCACACAUGCCAGAAUCACAACAGGUCCCAAUCCUACUGGGAGAGGGAGGAGGGAACUCAGUUGAAC